UAUUUAUUAAAUGAUUCUAAGUCUUAGAGCUGCAGAGGAGAAGAGAGACUAGGUCAGGCCCUGUCCUCAUGGAUCUUACAUCCAGUGGAGGUCGUUUGGGUGUCAGAGAAAGGGAAGGGUGGUGGCUUUUUCCAGGCAGGUUAAAGGAGGGAGGUCACAAUGCGUACUUUGUGAUGAGAUCUAUGAUAUAACUGGGAUAACACCAAGGGCCCACUGAGGUAUUCCUUCCCCUCACAGGACUAGCCACAUGCUGUCUCUCUGCCUCUUCCACCCCAUGCCCAGUCAGAGACCGUUUUGGGGGUAGAGAAGCCAGUCUGCGGCCCGCCACGGGAGCCACUGCCUGGGCCAGACAUGCAGCGCUGGCAGAUUUUUGUCCUGUGGGUCUUUUGGGUGCUCAUCCUCUGGCUGAUGACCCCCUAUCUGGAUCUGACACCUGAAUCGGCACCCCAGGAAAAACGAAUGUACUUGGUACCACGGCGUUGCAACUGCCCUUGGUUCAGUUCCGGGAAGUGUGGCUGCUCUUCUGAGACCCUCAACUGCUCCUCCUGCCACCACACAGCCGACAAAUGGAACUGGCUUGAUGUGUGCUCCAGGAAGACCAUGGGGUACCUGAUGAGGACAAGAGAGUCUAUGAACUCUGACACUGUGCUCUGGUGGUUGGGCAUGAACUCAGGGAGCGAGCUUGGGAAAUUGUGGAGGAAGCUGUUUAAAGGGAUUCCCAGGCUCUCGGUGAGCCAUUUUGAUUUCUACUGUGGGACUUGUGUGCUGUUGGGGUGCCCACAGAUCCCGCAGGGCUCCAGCCUUGGCAACGACAUUGACCAAUACCCCGUGGUUUUCAGGAAUGCCAGUGACCAGGGCUCCUGGAUGCAGCUGGAGAUGCUACUGUGGAAGCUCUCUGACCUGGUGUGGACUUCAGAUGCUCUAAGUGAUGAGAUUUUGGAAGAUGGUCUGAUUCCCUAGUGGAGUGGAAGAUAGCAAGGACACGCCUCUUCUCCUUCCCAGUGCCAGGUGUCAGGGCCAAUCUACUGUCUGCCAGGGGCACCAUCAUCAGGGCCAGAGAUCAUGAUUCGAUACAGGAGUUUGGGCCUGGUGGCUGCCUAUGUCCUUUCAUUGUGGCUGAUCGCCUCCUUCCUACACCAACACUCCAGCCAGAAGGACCUCUGUAAUAUGGCCAAAAUACACCCGGGAAUCUGCCACUGUCCCAGCAACUUUUCCAGAAAAUGCAAUUGCUCAUCUGAGGUCCAGACAUGCUCUGCCUGCCUCCACAUGCCUGGCAAGUCUGAUUGGUUUGACAGACGCUUCGACAGCACCGUUGAACCCCUACAGAGGCCACAAGAUCCCACGUCCAAUGAUGCUCUGAUAUUCUGGCUGGGACUCAAGAGAGUCAAGUCAGAGAAGGAGGUUGAGGAUAAGCAGCAGCAGCUGAUUAAAGCACCUCCCCUAUGCCCACUGGUCCAACUGCCGGGUCUGUGCAGUGGUGGGAAACUCAAGGUCUCUACGCAGCUCUGGUCUUGGCUUCAGGAUUAAUCAACAUGAAGUGGUCCUCAGGAUGAACCAGGCCCCGUCCAAGGCUUUGAGGCAGAUGUGGGGAACAGGAUCACCAUGCGCAUUAUGUACCCUGGGAUUGCCAGCUCUCAGGACCCCGGUACCCGACUGCUGCUGCUUCCGUUGAAUUCAUCUGGUCUGGAGUGGUUCAUAAGUGUACUGCAUAAACAGACAAGCAUGUGGAAGCAAAAAAACCCUGGAUUUCAGAUGGUCCAGGUUCCUGGUGGAACCAAAGACAGCAAAGAUAAGGUGCUGGUGAUCAGCUUCUACUUCCUCAGGUAUAUCCAGGAAAGUUGCCUGGAGAACCACGGUCAGUAUCCAUCCUUGGAGUUUGUGGCUCUGUUGUAUGCCUUGCAUACCUGUGACCAGGUAUCCUCGUUUGGUUUUGGGGCAGACAGUUGCAAAAAGUAGUCCCAUUACUGGGAUGACAAAUAUGAGUUUGAGAACACCAGGCAAAAUUUCCCAGCAGAAUACCAGAUCAUCUUGAAACCGCAGUGUGAGAGGAAGAUUGCUGUCCAUGGCUGAGAUGUUUCCACUGGAGUCUCCAAGAGGCUGACAGGUAGCCAAGGGGACCUUGUGGUGUCAGAGAGGGAGUCCAUCCAAGCAGACCCUGGAUGGAGAUCACUCUGCUACUGAAUAAAACCCUAGCUUAUUUCUCUCUCUGGAUUUCUGGUGGCAUUAAAGGGCUACAUUCUAUUACUGAUUCUGUCUUAUCACCAUGUGACUCUCUUAUGCUGUAUCUUAUCAAAAAAUAAAAUUAAAUGAGAAAAAAGUGAACCCUGAAGUUGAAAACACAUCAAACGGACCUAACUAUAUUUAAUUGAUAAUAUAAACACCAGAGAAAUAAUUAUUUCAAGUUCCUUUAACUCAACACCUUGAUUGUAUAUUCUUUGUAGGAUAGUCUCUGUGGACAAAAAGAACUACAAAGAAAUGUUAGGCCAGGCGCGAUGGCUCACACCUGUAACCCCAG